GGGAUGCCAUCUAAUGGGCAAUCAGAUGGUUUCAAGUGUUGCACAACAGUGCUCAGUUCAGCAAGUGAUACAGGGUCAAAUUCACCGAAAGUUGCAGGACACAAGUUGUUGAAUGAUAAAACAACAUUAGGAGAAGUGUGAUCUAA